UACGGGGGGGGCAAGCGUUGUUCGGAAUUACUGGGCGUAAAGGGUUCGUAGGUGGCCUACUAAGUCAUACGUGAAAUCCCUCAGCUUAACUGGGGAACUGCGUCUGAGACUGGAAGGCUUGAGUGCAGGAGAGGAACGCGGAAUUCCUGGUGUAGCGGUGAAAUGCGCAGAUAUCAGGAGGAACACCGGUGGCGAAGGCGGGUCUCUGGGCCGAUACUGACGCUGAGGAGCGAAAGCCAGGGGAGCAAACGGG
rnacentral:rRNA from 1 species